UCAGGAUGAACGCUGGCGGCGUGCUUAGCACAUGCAAGUCGAACGAAGCACUUACGACAGAUCCCUUCGGGGUGAAGAUGUUGUGACUGAGUGGCGGACGGGUGAGUAACGCGUGGGAAACCUGCCCUACACAGGGGGAUAACAGUUGGAAACGGCUGCUAAUACCGCAUAAGCGCACAGUACCGCAUGGUACAGUGUGAAAAACUCCGGUGGUGUAGGAUGGUCCCGCGUCUGAUUAGCUAGUUGGUGAGGUAACGGCCCACCAAGGCGACGAUCAGUAGCCGACCUGAGAGGGUGACCGGCCACAUUGGGACUGAGACACGGCCCAAACUCCUACGGGAGGCAGCAGUGGGGAAUAUUGCACAAUGGGCGAAAGCCUGAUGCAGCGAACCGCCGCGUGAGCGAUGAAGUAUUUCGGUAUGUAAAGCUCUAUCAGCAGGGAAGAUAAUGACGGUACCUGACUAAGAAGCACCGGCUAAAUACGUGCCAGCCGCAGC
rnacentral:rRNA from 1 species